rnacentral:rRNA from 1 species
UGCAAGUCGAGCGGGGAGAUGUAGCUUGCUACAUUUCCUAGCGGCGGACGGGUGAGUAAUGCUUAGGAAUCUGCCUAUUAGUGGGGGACAACAUUCCGAAAGGAAUGCUAAUACCGCAUACGCCCUACGGGGGAAAGCAGGGGAUCUUCGGACCUUGCGCUAAUAGAUGAGCCUAAGUCAGAUUAGCUAGUUGGUGGGGUAAAGGCCUACCAAGGCGACGAUCUGUAGCGGGUCUGAGAGGAUGAUCCGCCACACUGGGACUGAGACACGGCCCAGACUCCUACGGGAGGCAGCAGUGGGGAAUAUUGGACAAUGGGCGMAAGCCUGAUCCAGCCAUGCCGCGUGUGUGAAGAAGGCCUUUUGGUUGUAAAGCACUUUAAGCGAGGAGGAGGCUACUKRGAUUAAUACUCUAGGAUAGUGGACGUUACUCGCAGAAUAAGCACCGGCUAACUCUGUGCCAGCAGCCGCGGUAAUACAGAGGGUGCGAGCGUUAAUCGGAUUUACUGGGCGUAAAGCGUGCGUAGGCGGCUUUUUAAGUCGGAUGUGAAAUCCCUGAGCUUAACUUAGGAAUUGCAUUCGAUACUGGGAAGCUAGAGUAUGGGAGAGGAUGGUAGAAUUCCAGGUGUAGCGGUGAAAUGCGUAGAGAUCUGGAGGAAUACCGAUGGCGAAGGCAGCCAUCUGGCCUAAUACUGACGCUGAGGUACGAAAGCAUGGGGAGCAAACAGGAUUAGAUACCCUGGUAGUCCAUGCCGUAAACGAUGUCUACUAGCCGUUGGGGCC